UUCUACUUGAGUAAAGGAUGUGUACUUUGGCCCUCUCUGACUGUAGCCUUGCUGUCAUAAAGGCAUGCAGACUCACGUUAACCCCAGAGAAAAGUCUCAAAAGGCGUCUCUCUCUCCUCCUCAGAUCGCCCGGUGCUCCUGAAAUGUCCUGUCCUCCCGCUGUCAGAAGGAUCCGAUGCGACGCUGCACUGUCAGGCCGAGUCGGUUUCCUCCGCCCACACUUUCGACUUCCAGAGAGACGGCCUCUUCAUCGCCAGUAGUCGCACGGGAGAGAUGACCAUCCGCAGGGUUUCCAAAUCUGACGAAGGACUCUACAGCUGCAGCAUCCCUGAGGUGGGAGAGUCUGUGGGCAGCUGGCUCACUGUGGAAGAAGGUGAUUCAUUGUGGAAUUUCCCCCUACAAGAAGACUUUACAGGAAACGGUACAGACAGAAACGGUUCCUCUUCAGCUACCGCCUGCAGCUUCCUGCCAGGUUUCGGUUCCCCGGCUGAUGUG